UACGUAGGGACCAAGCGUUGUUCGGAUUUACUGGGCGUAAAGGGCGCGUAGGCGGCAAUUCAAGUCAUCUGUGAAAUCUCCGGGCUUAACCCGGAACGGUCAGGUGAUACUGUUUUGCUAGAGUGCGGAAGGGGCAAUCGGAAUUCUCGGUGUAGGCGGUGAAAUGCGUAGAUAUCGAGAGGAACACCAGAGGUGAAGACGGGUUGCUGGGCCGACACUGACGCUGACAGCGCGAAAGCCAGGGGAGCAAACGGG
rnacentral:rRNA from 1 species